rnacentral:rRNA from 1 species
UACGUAGGGUGCGAGCGUUGUCCGGAAUUAUUGGGCGUAAAGAGCUUGUAGGCGGUCUGUCGCGUCUGCUGUGAAAAUCCGGGGCUCAACCCCGGACUUGCAGUGGGUACGGGCAGACUAGAGUGUGGUAGGGGAGACUGGAAUUCCUGGUGUAGCGGUGAAAUGCGCAGAUAUCAGGAGGAACACCGGUGGCGAAGGCGGAUCUCUGGGCCUGUCCUGACGCUGAGGCGCGAAAGCUAGGGGAGCGAACAGG